rnacentral:rRNA from 1 species
AGGACGAACGCUGGCGGCGUGCCUAACACAUGCAAGUCGAGCGGGACAUGCGACGGAGGCGAAGUACUCGUACGGAGUCAAAGAUGUAAUGUCUAGCGGCGGACGGGUGAGUAACGCGUGAGCAACCUGUCCCUUACAGGGGGAUAACACAGCGAAAGUUGUACUAAUACCGCAUAAGACCACAGGAUGACAUCGUCCAGGGGUCAAAGGAGCAAUCCGGUAAGGGGUGGGCUCGCGUCCGAUUAGAUAGUUGGUGAGGUAACGGCCCACCAAGUCGACGAUCGGUAGCCGACCUGAGAGGGUGAUCGGCCACAUUGGGACUGAGACACGGCCCAAACUCCUACGGGAGGCAGCAGUGGGGAAUAUUGGGCAAUGGGGGGAAACCCUGACCCAGCAACGCCGCGUGAGGGAAGAAGGUUUUCGGAUCGUAAACCUCUGUCCCAGGUGAAGAGGAAGAGACGGUAGCCUGGGAGGAAGCCCCGGCUAACUACGUGCCAGCCGCGGC